GAGAUUGUAAUAUUAUUAUUAUUUAAUUAUUAACUUGAUUUGUAUACUCGCAUUCUCACAAAUUGAAUAUCAUAGUUCUCUUUGGCCAAAUCUCAAACUUUCUAUUUUUUGUAAUUGAUUUGUUUUAGAUUACGAUGUGGGUUUUCAGAGCUCUUGAUUUGGGUAUUAGAGAUCACGAUCUAGCUUUCAAAGCUCAUGAUUUGGGUUUCAGAGAUGACAAUCGGAGUUCUAGAACGCAUAAUCUGGGUAUCAGAGAUCUAGAAUACAUAAUCUAGGUUUCAGAUAUGCCAAUCUUUUCUCACGAUUGGAGUUGAAUUGGAGGCUUGACAAUCGGAGUUCAACCGGUGUGACAAUCGAAUCAUAUAGUUCUCUCUCAGAUCUAAAACUUCCUUUCUUUUGUUUUCAUUUAUUAAAUUGUUGUUGAUUUUUCCUAGAUUAUGAUAUGGGUUUCAAAAUUCCCGAUCUAGGUAUUAGAGGUCAUGAUCUGGCUUUCAAAUCUAUCGAUUUGGGUUUUGGAGAUGACAAUCAGAGCUUUAGAACGCACAAUCUGCGUAUCAGAGAUCUACAAUGCCAAUCUGAGUUUCAAAGAUGAUGACCUUUUCUCUCUCAUUCGGAUUUCUCAUGAUCGAAGUUCAACUUGAGGUGUAACAAUCUGAGUUCAACCAGUGUGAUGAUUGAAGCUCGCAGUUCUCUCUCUAUCAAGGCCCUCAAGCUUAAUAUGAAAGAACUGCAAGUUUCAACGUAGCCAACUCCAUGAAUCUGUAACAUAGGUUCUAAGUGAUGUUGAAAAUGACAAAUGGAAAGAACCCAUGUUAUUGAUUUAGGUAGGUUAGCUAAGUAAAUAUAGGUUACAAUCAAAUAUGGCUUACCAUUCAUAGGAGCAUAAAAUUAAAAUCUUCUAAUUUUUUAAAAUACCAGCCCAAACUCGUCUUAUUUAUUUAAAUAUCUAAGUAUAAUUCUUAUUCUAGUGCAAGCUCACAAGCCUAAUAUGAAGAACUUGCAAGGAUGAAAAUAACAACUGCAAGCUUCAAUAUAAACAACCACCUGAAUCAAUAACAUAGAUUCUAACUGAUGUUGAAUAUGAAAAUGGACUCUAUUUAAGUAGAGUUCAUUUAUCAUUACCAAUCUAUGGAGUGCAUUGUCAUUUUUUACAUCAGUUGGAACCUAUGUUAAUUUGUCAUUUUCAACAUUAGUCAGAACCUAUGUUAUUGAUUUAGGUAGUUUGGCUACAUCGAAGCUUGUAAUUCAUAUUUUCAUGUUCGCAAGUUCCAUCAUAUUAGGCUUGCAAGCUAGCACUAGAAUAAGAAUAAUAAUUAGAAAUUCAAAUAAAUUAGAUGAGUUUGGACUGAUAUUUUUAAAAAGUAGAAGACUUUAAUUUUAUGUUCAGGUGAGUAGUAAGCCAUAUUUUAUUGAAACCAUAUUUACUUAGCUAACCUACCUAAAUCAACAACAUGGGUUCUAAGUGAUGGAAUUGGCUACAUUGAAACUUGAUCAUGUGCUUGGGAUUUGUGCAAGGGCUAGAUAGAGCUCUCUUGCAUUUGUAACCUAUGGCCUCUUUUGUUUAUAGGUCGAGUGCCUUUAUUUUGUAAGGAUUAAUCACUUUUACUUGAUAUAAGCCUAAAGACAUUCUCUUUUGUUGUUCAAUAUUUUAUCUUGAAUUUCAUAUUGUAUAUUCACUUCACCUAGACAUUGAAUAUAUGAUGCAUGUAAUGAACAAACCUCGUGUACUGGAUGAUAUUCAUAUAAAUGAAUAAAAGAGGGAUAUUUUGAUUAUCUUUA